rnacentral:rRNA from 1 species
CGGAGGGUGCAAGCGUUAUCCGGAUUCACUGGGUUUAAAGGGUGUGUAGGCGGGUAUUUAAGUCAGUGGUGAAAUCUCCGGGCUCAACCCGGAAACUGCCAUUGAUACUAUUUAUCUUGAAUUCUGUUGAGGUAGGCGGAAUAUAUCAUGUAGCGGUGAAAUGCUUAGAUAUGAUAUAGAACACCGAUUGCGAAGGCAGCUUACUAAACAGACAUUGACGCUGAGGCACGAAAGCGUGGGGAUCAAACAGGAUUAGAUACCCUGGUAGUCCACGCCCUAAACGAUGAUUACUCGACAUACGCGAUAUUACUGUGUGUGUCUGAGCGAAAGCAUUAAGUAAUCCACCUGGGAAGUACGUCCGCAAGGAUG